rnacentral:rRNA from 2 species
GGUUAAGUUACAAAGGGCGCACGGUGGAUGCCUUGGCACUAGGAGCCGAUGAAGGACGGAACUAAUACCGAUAUGCUUCGGGGAGCUAUAAGUAAGCUUUGAUCCGGAGAUUUCCGAAUGGGGGAACCCAGUACACAUCAGUGUAUUGCUUGUCAGUGAAUACAUAGCUGGCCGGCGGCAGACGCGGGGAACUGAAACAUCUCAGUACCCGCAGGAAGAGAAAGAAAACUCGAUUCCCAUAGUAGCGGCGAGCGAAGUGGGAAGAGCCCAAACCGNGAAGCUUGCUUCUCGGGGGUUGUAGGACUGGGACAUUGGAGUUACCAAAGUCCGGCCGAAGUUAUCGCUUUGACUUGUAAUAAUUAUUUUUGAUUGAGAUAUCAGAAAUAACGGGGGAUAAUAAUGAAAAGAUUAUUAGGAUUGUUCUUUGUGUUGUUAGUUGCGUUAGUAUCAUGGUCGGA